CAGGACGAACGCUGGCGGCGUGCUUCAUACAUGCAAGUCGAACGAGAAGCUCACUUCGGUGAGUGGAAAGUGGCGGACGGGUGAGUAAUGUGUAGAGAAUCUGCCCUAGAGUGGGGGAUAGCAGUUGGAAACGACUAUUAAUACCCCAUAUGCGCGUAGCUGAGAUGCUAUUCGUGAAAACUCCGGUGCUCUGGGAUGAGUCUGCAUCUGAUUAGCUAGUAGGCGGUGUAAUGGACCACCUAGGCGACGAUCAGUAGCUGGUUUGAGAGGAUGAUCAGCCACAAUGGGACUGAGACACGGCCCAUACUCCUACGGGAGGCAGCAGUAGGGAAUUUUGCGCAAUGGGGGCAACCCUGACGCAAGCAACGCCGCGUGAUUGAAGAAGCCCUUCGGGGUGUAAAGAUCUGUCAGUGGGGACGAAACUUGACGGUACCCACAGAGGAAGCAUCGGCUAACUCCGUGCCAGCAGCCGC
rnacentral:rRNA from 1 species